rnacentral:misc_RNA from 1 species
GAAAUGCGAUAAGUAAUGUGAAUUGCAGAAUUCAGUGAAUCAUCGAAUCUUUGAACGCACAUUGCGCCCGCCAGCACUCUGGCGGGCAUGCCUGUUCGAGCGUCAUUUCAACCCUCAGAACCCCUUGCGGGAUCUGGCGUUGGGGAUUGGCAUCCAGCCAGCCCCGAAAUCUAGUGGCGGUCCCUCCGCGACCUCCCCUGUGCAGUAGCGAUACCUCGCAGCGGGACAGCGGUCUGACCACGCCGUAAAACCCCCAACUUCUCAAGGUUGACCUCGAAUCAGGGAGGAAUGCCCGCAGAACUGAAGC